rnacentral:rRNA from 1 species
GAAUGCCUAGGUGCCGAGAGGCGAUGAAGGACGCGUAAAGCUGCGAUAAGCCCUGGUUAGUUGCUUAAAAACUCACCCAGGGGUUUCCGAAUGGGAUAACCCACAGUUAAAUACUGUAUCUUGGUUUUUGCCAAGAAGCUAUACUACCUGAAGUGAAACAUCUCAGUAAGGUAAGGAAAAUAAAGCAAACGCGAUUCUAAAAGUAGCGGCGAGCGAAAUUAGAUCAGCCCAAACCUGUUUUUCAGGUGUUAGGGGUUCAACUUCCGCGAGUUUUUUUAUUAGUAAAUACAAUGGAAAUUGUAGCCAUAGAGGGUGAUAGCCCCGUGUCUAAUUAAAAAGCAAUAAGGAUGAGCUUCCAGAGUAAUGUGAGACACGAGAAAUCUCAUAUGAAUGAGCGGGGACCACCCCGUAAGGCUAAAUACUAAUCGGC